rnacentral:rRNA from 1 species
GUAUAAUGGGUCAGCGACUUAUAUUCUGUAGCAAGGUUAACCGAAUAGGGGAGCCGAAGGGAAACCGAGUCUUAACUGGGCGUUAAGUUGCAGGGUAUAGACCCGAAACCCGGUGAUCUAGCCAUGGGCAGGUUGAAGGUUGGGUAACACUAACUGGAGGACCGAACCGACUAAUGUUGAAAAAUUAGCGGAUGACUUGUGGCUGGGGGUGAAAGGCCAAUCAAACCGGGAGAUAGCUGGUUCUCCCCGAAAGCUAUUUAGGUAGCGCCUCGUGAAUUCAUCUCCGGGGGUAGAGCACUGUUUCGGCAAGGGGGUCAUCCCGACUUACCAACCCGAUGCAAACUGCGAAUACCGGAGAAUGUUAUCACGGGAGACACACGGCGGGUGCUAACGUCCGUCGUGAAGAG